CCUACGGGUUGCACCAGUGGGGAAUAUUGCACAAUGGGCGCAAGCCUGAUGCAGCCAUGCCGCGUGUAUGAAGAAGGCCCUAGGGUUGUAAAGUACUUUCAGUCGGGAGGAAGGCGUUGAUGCUAAUAUCAUCAACGAUUGACGUUACCGACAGAAGAAGCACCGGCUAACUCCGUGCCAGCAGCCGCGGUAAUACGGAGGGUGCAAGCGUUAAUCGGAAUUACUGGGCGUAAAGCGCACGCAGGCGGUUGAUUAAGUUAGAUGUGAAAUCCCCGGGCUUAACCUGGGAAUGGCAUCUAAGACUGGUCAGCUAGAGUCUUGUAGAGGGGGGUAGAAUUCCAUGUGUAGCGGUGAAAUGCGUAGAGAUGUGGAGGAAUACCGGUGGCGAAGGCGGCUUACUGGUCUGCAACUGACGCUGAGGCGCGAAAGCGUGGGGAGCAAACAGGAUUAGAUACCCUCGUAGUC
rnacentral:rRNA from 1 species